ensembl:lncRNA
GGGGUGCUGGAACAGCUGCCCAGAGAGGCUGUGGAUGCCCCGUCCAUCCCUGGAGGUGUUCAAGGCCAGGUUGGAUGGGGCCCUGGGCAGCCUGGGCUGGUAUGAAAUGUGGAGGUUGGUGGCCCUGCCUGUGGUGGGGGGGUUGGAGCUUCAUGAUCCUUGAGGUCCCUUCUAACCCAAGCCAUGCUAUGAUUCUACGGUUGACCAUGGAAGCUGGUUC